AGUGAGAGCAGAAGAGAGAGAUGAAUC
rnacentral:piRNA from 1 species